CCGUGAAAGCGUGGCCUA
rnacentral:snRNA from 1 species